rnacentral:tRNA from 1 species
GUGGAUAUGGUAUAACGGUUAUUAUCUUUGGCUUCCAACCAAAGGAUGAGAGUUCAAUUCUCUCUAUCCACUCCA